GACGAACGCUGGCGGCGUGCUUAACACAUGCAAGUCGAACGGAAAGGCCCUGCUUUUGUGGGGUGCUCGAGUGGCGAACGGGUGAGUAACACGUGAGUAACCUGCCCUUGACUUUGGGAUAACUUCAGGAAACUGGGGCUAAUACCGGAUAGGAGCUCCUGCUGCAUGGUGGGGGUUGGAAAGUUUCGGCGGUUGGGGAUGGACUCGCGGCUUAUCAGCUUGUUGGUGGGGUAGUGGCUUACCAAGGCUUUGACGGGUAGCCGGCCUGAGAGGGUGACCGGCCACAUUGGGACUGAGAGACGGCACAGACUCCUACGGGAGGCAGCAGUGGGGAAUAUUGAACAAUGGGCGGAAGCCUGAUGCAGCAACGCCGCGUGCGGGAAGACGGCCUUCGGGUUGUAAAACGCUUUCGCCUGUGACGAAGCGUGAGUGACGGUAAUGGGUAAAGAAGCACCGGCUAACUACGUGC
rnacentral:rRNA from 1 species